rnacentral:rRNA from 1 species
UAGGGAAUCUUCGGCAAUGGGGGGAACCCUGACCGAGCAACGCCGCGUGAGUGAAGAAGGUUUUCGGAUCGUAAAGCUCUGUUGUUAAGGAAGAACGAGUGUGAGAAUGGAAAGUUCAUACUGUGACGGUACUUAACCAGAAAGGGACGGCUAACUACGUGCCAGCAGCCGCGGUAAUACGUAGGUCCCGAGCGUUGUCCGGAUUUAUUGGGCGUAAAGCGAGCGCAGGCGGUUAGAUAAGUCUGAAGUUAAAGGCAGUGGCUCAACCAUUGUAGGCUUUGGAAACUGUUUAACUUGAGUGCAGAAGGGGAGAGUGGAAUUCCAUGUGUAGCGUUGAAAUGCGUAGAUAUAUGGAGGAACACCGGUGGCGAAAGCGGCUCUCUGGUCUGUAACUGACGCUGAGGCUCGAAAGCGUGGGGAGCGAACAGG